rnacentral:rRNA from 1 species
ACACUCCUACGGGAGGCAGCAGUGGGGAAUCUUGCGCAAUGGGCGAAAGCCUGACGCAGCCAUGCCGCGUGAAUGAUGAAGGUCUUAGGAUUGUAAAAUUCUUUCACCGGGGACGAUAAUGACGGUACCCGGAGAAGAAGCCCCGGCUAACUUCGUGCCAGCAGCCGCGGUAAUACGAAGGGGGCUAGCGUUGCUCGGAAUUACUGGGCGUAAAGGGAGCGUAGGCGGACAUUUAAGUCAGGGGUGAAAUCCCGGGGCUCAACCUCGGAAUUGCCUUUGAUACUGGGUGUCUUGAGUAUGAGAGAGGUGUGUGGAACUCCGAGUGUAGAGGUGAAAUUCGUAGAUAUUCGGAAGAACACCAGUGGCGAAGGCGACACACUGGCUCAUUACUGACGCUGAGGCUCGAAAGCGUGGGGAGCAAACAGGAUUAGAUACCCUAGUAGUCCCAUGA